CAUGGCUCAGGACGAACGCUGGCGGCGUGCCUAAUACAUGCAAGUAGAACGCUGAAGGAGGAGCUUGCUUCUCCGGAUGAGUUGCGAACGGGUGAGUAACGCGUAGGUAACCUGCCUGGUAGCGGGGGAUAACUAUUGGAAACGAUAGCUAAUACCGCAUAAGAGUAGAUGUUGCAUGACAUUUGCUUAAAAGGUGCAAUUGCAUCACUACCAGAUGGACCUGCGUUGUAUUAGCUAGUUGGUGGGGUAACGGCUCACCAAGGCGACGAUACAUAGCCGACCUGGGAGGGUGAUCGGCCACACUGGGACUUAGGCCCGGCCCCAGCUCCUUCCG
rnacentral:rRNA from 1 species